rnacentral:rRNA from 1 species
GGCUUACCAAGGCUAUGACGGGUAGCUGAUCUGAGAGGAUGAUCAGCCAGAAUGGGACUGAGACACGGCCCAUACUCCUACGGGAGGCAGCAGUGAGGAAUCUUCCGCAAUGGGGGCAACCCUGACGGAGCGACACCGCGUGAAGGAUGACGAUCUUUCUGAUUGUAAACUUCUGUUCUGAGGGACGAAAUUUUUGACGGUACCUCAGGAGAAAGCACCGGCUAAAUCCGUGCCAGCAGCCGCGGUAAUACGGAUGGUGCAAGCGUUACUCGGAAUUACUGGGCGUAAAGCGUCCGCAGGCGUUUUCCCAAGUCUGACAUUAAAGUUCGGAGCUCAACUCCGUGAUGUGUCGGAAACUAGGAGAAUAGAGUCAUACAGAGGCAACUGGAAUUACGUGUGUAGGGGUAAAAUCCGUUGAUCCACGUAGGAACGCCAAAAGUGAAAACAGGUUGCUGGGUAUGUACUGACGCUCAGGGACGAAAGCGUGGGGAGCGAAGGGGAUUAGAUACCCCCGUAGUCCACGCCCUAAACGAUGUGUGCUCGAUGUCGGACUUUCAAUCAUGUUCGGUGUCCAAGCUAACGCGGUAAGCACACCGCCUGAGUAGUACGGCCGCAAGGCUAAAACUUAAAGGAAUAGACGGGGACCCACACAAGCGGUGGAGCAUGGGGUUUAAUUCGAUGAUAAGCGGAGCACCUCACCUAGGCUUGACAUCCUCCGAAUCGACUAGAAAUAGUUGAGUGCCGCAAGGAACGGAGUGACAGGUGGUGCACGGUCGUCGUCAGCUCGUGCUUUGAAGUGUACUGUUAAGUCAGCAAACGAGCGCAACCCAUAUCCUAUGUUGCUUUUUCAUAGGAGACUGCCGCCUCCAAGGCGGAGGAAGGUAUGGAUGACGUCAGAUCUGCGUGUCCCUUAUGCCUAGGGCAACACCCGUGCUACAAUGGUCGGUACAAAGGGCAGCGAACCCGCGAGGGGGAGCAAAUCCCAUAAAACCGAUCUCAGUUCGGAUUGAAGUCUGCAACUCGACUUCAUGAAGUUGGAAUCGCUAGUAA